rnacentral:rRNA from 1 species
UACGGGGGGGAGCAAGCGUUGUUCGGAUUUACUGGGCGUAAAGGGCGCGUAGGCGGCGCAACAAGUCACUUGUGAAAUCUCCGGGCUUAACCCGGAACGGUCAGAUGAUACUGCUUUGCUAGAGUGCGGAAGGGGCAAUCGGAAUUCUCGGUGUAGCGGUGAAAUGCGUAGAUAUCGAGAGGAACACCUGAGGUGAAGACGGGUUGCUGGGCCGACACUGACGCUGAGUGCGCGAAAGCCAGGGGAGCAAACGGG